GAGUUGAAUUGAGUUGAGUUGAGUACAGCUCAGUCAAAUAUCAAGAACACAAGUUAAAAUGGCAAGGUCUAAAACUGAGUUUAACUUAUUGUUGAAAAUUUUAAACUUAACCACUAUUAUCCAAAUUAUAAUUAUUUGGCAAGUCAUAUAUUACACUAAAAUGUAAAAGAUGAAAUACCUUUUGAAGAACAUAACCAUCAU
rnacentral:misc_RNA from 1 species